UACGUAGGGUCCAAGCGUUAAUCGGAAUUACUGGGCGUAAAGCGUGCGCAGGCGGUUGUGCAAGACCGAUGUGAAAUCCCCGAGCUUAACUUGGGAAUUGCAUUGGUGACUGCACGGCUAGAGUGUGUCAGAGGGGGGUAGAAUUCCACGUGUAGCAGUGAAAUGCGUAGAGAUGUGGAGGAAUACCGAUGGCGAAGGCAGCCCCCUGGGAUAACACUGACGCUCAUGCA
rnacentral:rRNA from 1 species